AGUAUCGUGGCCGAGUGGUCUAUGGCGUUCGAUUCAAGCUCGAAUCCUCAGAGAGGGCGUGGGUUCGAAUCCCAUCGAUACUA
rnacentral:tRNA from 1 species